rnacentral:rRNA from 1 species
GACGAACGCUGGCGGCGUGCCUAAUACAUGCAAGUCGAGCGCAGGAAGCCGACGGAACCCUUCGGGGGGAAGUCGACGGAAUGAGCGGCGGACGGGUGAGUAACACGUAAAGAACCUGCCCUCAGGUCUGGGAUAACCACGAGAAAUCGGGGCUAAUACCGGAUGGGUCAUCGGACCGCAUGGUCCGAGGAUGAAAGGCGCUUCGGCGUCGCCUGGGGAUGGCUUUGCGGUGCAUUAGCUAGUUGGUGGGGUAAUGGCCCACCAAGGCGACGAUGCAUAGCGGACGUGAGAGGGGGAUGGGCCACACUGGGACUGAGACACGGCCCAGACUCCUACGGGAGGCAGCAGUAGGGAAUCUUCCACAAUGGACGAAAGUCUGAUGGAGCAACGCCGCGUGAACGAUGAAGGCCUUCGGGUCGUAAAGUUCUGUUGUAAGGGAAGAACAAGUGCCGCAGGCAAUGGCGGCACCUUGACGGUACCUUGCGAGAAAGCCACGGCUAACUACGUGCCAGCCGCCGCGGUAACAC